rnacentral:rRNA from 1 species
UACGUAGGGUGCAAGCGUUGUCCGGAAUUAUUGGGCGUAAAGAGCUCGUAGGCGGUCUGUCGCGUCUGCUGUGAAAACUCAGGGCUUAACCCUGAGCUUGCAGUGGGUACGGGCAGACUAGAGUGCGGUAGGGGAGACUGGAAUUCCUGGUGUAGCGGUGAAAUGCGCAGAUAUCGGGAGGAACACCGGUGGCGAAGGCGGCGACCUGGGUAGAUACUGACGCUGAGGUGCGAAAGCGUGGGGAGCAAACAGG